UACGGAGGGGGCUAGCGUUGUUCGGAAUUACUGGGCGUAAAGCGCACGUAGGCGGCUUUGUAAGUUAGAGGUGAAAGCCCGGGGCUCAACUCCGGAAUUGCCUUUAAGACUGCAUCGCUAGAAUUGUGGAGAGGUAAGUGGAAUUCCGAGUGUAGAGGUGAAAUUCGUAGAUAUUCGGAAGAACACCAGUGGCGAAGGCGACUUACUGGACACAUAUUGACGCUGAGGUGCGAAGGCGUGGGGAGCGAACGGG
rnacentral:rRNA from 1 species